GAGUUGGAGAAGUACAGUUUCAAUGCCGAUUCUAUAAUGUGUCUGGACUAAUGAGCCGUCGUUGGAUCCAGGUGUGUUGAUCCAGGGAGAGAAGUGAAACACGCAGGAUCCUGGCCCUCGAGAACCGACUUUUCACAUCCGUACUGUAGAUGGUUAGGGACAGGCAGGUGGGACUUUCACAGUUCCAGAGUGGCUACAUUUCAAAACACGUUUCAUUUUUACAUGCAAGCUGUUUCUAUUUUUUAUUUUUUUUAAUCUGUCUUGCGUUUGCCUCACUGUCACAAAUAACCAACGUGGUGCUGAUGUCGAAUGUUGUUCUGUGGGAGUGUAACAGAGCCACCGAUUGGCCCCACAUAACCUACAACAUCGUUUUCAGAAGACACUGACGCGUCCUGUUGGGUGAACUCUCAAUGUUCUCAGUGCUACGCUAUGAAAUUGUGGAAAUUGCCUGCGCCGUGAACAUCCAACUUCCAUUAUAAAGAGAGAAGAUCGAAGCUGAUCGAGGAAACCCUAAAACGGUACAACCAUCGUCACAGAUGCCUGGAAACCCUAAGCUGUUCCUGCGAAACCUAAAACGGUACAACCAUCGUCACAGAUGCCUGUCAGAUCUUUGGUUCAGGAUACAAGUCGCUCCUUGUUCUGACACGUCAAAAGUCACACAAGGAUCACACAGCCACAAGAACCUUUAAAAACGUUUAUGGUCAUAAGGAAGUUGGAGAAAGACAUCCUCACAAUGAAAUACAGACCACAAAGCUUUGAAGACGGAGCCAGUCUUUGUGGUUCUCUUGAUCCUCUGCAAAAACAGCGACAUGCUUUCCAUCAACAAUGCCUCAGAUAUGCAUCAGUAGACUGGGAUAAGGACCGCUAAAGUUGGAGAGACAAUGACUGUACUUUGUUCAUUCCCGCUUCUCCUGGUGUAUUGUUUGAGUGCAGCUCUGGCACUAUCUAUCAUCGGGGUCCUUGUUUUGUCUUCCUUCAUGUACAAACUAAGCUUAAAACUCAAGAGCGUCUGUGAAGGAGUUGAUGCCAAUGAGGGAUCUCCUUCAACCAGAGCAGCUGUACAGGAGCGUCAGCCAGGAAGUCUCCAUUAUGCCGCAGUGAAUCUGAGGAGGAGUAAAGAACAACAGCUUCAAGGGGACACGGAAGAGGC